CGAGUGGCCGAGCGGUCAACCCCAUGAACUGCUGAGUGGCAGUCGCGGGUUCGAAUCCCUUCCUUCC
rnacentral:tRNA from 1 species